AGUGAACGCUGGCGGCAGGCCUAACACAUGCAAGUCGAACGGCAGCACAGAGGAGCUUGCUCCUUGGGUGGCGAGUGGCGGACGGGUGAGGAAUACAUCGGAAUCUGCCUAUUUGUGGGGGAUAACGUAGGGAAACUUACGCUAAUACCGCAUACGACCUACGGGUGAAAGCGGAGGACCUUCGGGCUUCGCGCAGAUAGAUGAGCCGAUGUCGGAUUAGCUAGUUGGCGGGGUAAAGG
rnacentral:rRNA from 1 species